CCCUUAGAGUUUGAUCCUGGCUCAGAAUCAACGCUGGCGGCGUGCCUAACACAUGCAAGUCGAACGGCAGCACGGGAGCAAUCCUGGUGGCGAGUGGCGAACGGGUGAGUAAUGCAUCGGAACGUGCCCAGUCGUGGGGGAUAACGCAGCGAAAGCUGCGCUAAUACCGCAUACGAUCUAUGGAUGAAAGCGGGGGACCGUAAGGCCUCGCGCGAUUGGAGCGGCCGAUGUCAGAUUAGGUAGUUGGUGGGGUAAAGGCUCACCAAGCCAACGAUCUGUAGCUGGUCUGAGAGGACGACCAGCCACACUGGGACUGAGACACGGCCCAGACUCCUACGGGAGGCAGCAGUGGGGAAUUUUGGACAAUGGGCGCAAGCCUGAUCCAGCAAUGCCGCGUGCAGGAAGAAGGCCUUCGGGUUGUAAACUGCUUUUGUACGGAACGAAACGGUCUGGGUUAAUACCCUGGGCUAAUGACGGUACCGUAAGAAUAAGCACCGGCUAACUACGUGCCAGCAGCCGCGGUAAUACGUAGGGUGCAAGCGUUAAUCGGAAUUACUGGGCGUAAAGCGUGCGCAGGCGGUUUUGUAAGACAGGCGUGAAAUCCCCGGGCUCAACCUGGGAAUUGCGCUUGUGACUGCAAGGCUGGAGUGCGGCAGAGGGGGAUGGAAUUCCGCGUGUAGCAGUGAAAUGCGUAGAUAUGCGGAGGAACACCGAUGGCGA
rnacentral:rRNA from 1 species